CCUGGCGGCUUUAGCGCGGUGGUCCCACCUGACCCCAUGCCGAACUCAGAAGGGAAACGCCGUAGCGCCGAUGGUAGUGUGGGGUCUCCCCAUGCGAGAGUAGGGAACUGCCAGGC
rnacentral:rRNA from 1 species